AAAAACCAAUUCGGUGAGAGCCUCGGCGCAGGAAGCUCAGUCCGCCCCCGUCUGUCCCGCCCCUCCUCGCACAGCAGACGUUUGUUUGGUUUUCGGCUCCGCCCGCCUUUCUGAAGAGAAAGUGAGGAGGCAAAUUCGCUGUUUUCUCAGUCCUCCUCCUCCCGCCCCCUCGAGUCACGUGAUCCAUUUGGUCCGGCCUUUCCGCACCCGACUUCAACCCUUGACCACAGGAGCCAGCUGCGGCACCUGCCGGGGUGUUGUAUCACAGUGCCUUCAGUUUGUUACCGGCUGGGCAAUAUUUUCAAUUCUUUUUAAACGUUGAUUCAUUUCUGAGAGAGAGAAAGAGAGCAAGCUGGGGUGGGGCAGAGAGAGAGGGAGACACAGAACCUGAAACAGGCUCUAGGCUCCGGAGCUGUCAGCACAGAGAUGAUGACCUGAGCCUAAGUCGGAUGCUUAACCCACUGAGCCACCCGGGCACCGGUGGGCAAUUUCUGAAUUCCGCUUUGUCCUUCCACCUGGAUGAGUUUCUUCCUCCGCAGGUCAAAAAAGGCCCCUUCAAGCUUAUUCGUUUGUUCAGCAAAUACUAUUAUGUAUCUGGAACUCUAUUGUGGGCUGGAUUUACGAAGAUGAACGUGGCAGUUUUUUUUAGGUAUCUAUGAAAGUCUGGCCCCUGCUUGCUGAAUUCUUCCAAAAGCACUGGAUUUUUGUCAACAGGAUUGGAUGUUGCUGGAGUUGUGAGAUGUCUCAGCUCUGGAGAUUAUGUUAUUACUGUCAUUCUUCUCCCAGGUACCAUAUUUAGGAUUUUUAGGCCUAUUUAUAAACCACUGACUCCUUGUUUACACUGGCUGGUGCCUACCGCAGAAGAAAUACUUGUUGACUGACUUUCUUAGUCCAUUCAUUAAAACUGGCUUAUUAACCUUCUUCCCAGAGCACUGCCAGCAAAUGUGUGAGCUCUUCCAUUUCAGGCAUCAGCAACUCUGCUUUACUGGAAGGACUCUUACAGUUCAGCUUUAAAAUAGUAUUGAUAAUAUUUUAGUUGCCCUGUUGAAUUUACCAUUAUAACAUUCACUGUAAUUUGUCAUACUUACUAUGUGGGCUAUGCAUUUAUAUACAGUUACACACAAUGGUACAUAGGGGCUCACACUCAAUAUAUGUGUCUGUCAGAACAAAAUACUUUAGAAAAUUCUAUAUAGUAUUCUUCCUAAUCCAUAUCUAUAUUGCUGUACAGAGUUUAAUAUAGUUAAAGGUUAUAGACUAGUGGGGCACCUGGGUGGCUCAGUCGGUUAAGUGUCCAGCUCUCGAUUUCAGUUCAGGUCUUGAUCUCAGGGUUGUAAGUUCAAGCCCUGCAUUGGGCUCCAUACUGGGCAUGAAGCCUACUUAAGUAAAAAAAAAAAAAAAAAAAGGUUAUAGACGAGAUUAUAUUAGGCCCGAGUUAAAUUUUAUGGCUGAAAACAAUUAAAGAAGCAGGUCACCCUGACACCACAUGUAUUUAUUUUAUGUCUGCCAGAGGAGGUGAAGAGGUUCUUAAUCUUUUUUUAUGCCAUGGACUUCAUUAGCAGUCUGGUGAAGGUUUUGCAGCCCUUCUCAGAGUAAUCUUUCUGAAUGCAUGAACUACAUAGAGGGUUACAUUUUAAACAGUUUCAUUGGAACACAAUUCUAUCCUGGGGUCCCAGCUUCAAACCUCUGAAGCUCUAUGGGUACUUAGUUUCCUCAGGCUGCCACAACAAAAUAUCAUAGACUAGGUGGUUUAAACAAUAGAAAUUUAUUUUCUCACAGUUCUGGAAGCCAGCAAAUUUGGUUUCUUGUGAGGGUUCUGUUCCUGGCUUGUAGAUGACCAUCAUCUUUCUGUAUCUUCACGUGGCCUUUCGUGUGUGUGUGUGUGUGUGUGUGUGUGUGUGUGUGUGUGUGUGCAUGCACGCGCGCGCGCACACACACACACUCGUGCAUGGGUAGGGAGGGAGAGAGCACAUCUCUGGUGUCUCUGUCUCUGCUUGUAAGGACAUUAAUCCUAUUGGAUUAGGGUCCUACCCUUAUAUCCUCACUUCCUUAGAGGCCCCAUCCCCAAACACAACCACACUGGGAGUUAGGGCUUCAAUAUAUGAAUCUGGGGGCGGGGGCGGGGUAACAAACGUUCAGUUCAAAAUAGUACUACAGGAAGUUAACAAUAGUCCCCACGUCCAUUCUCAGAAGCUCUCAGAGAUUAAAGUUUGAGGACUCUGAGAAAUGGAAGAAUUUAGAAUCUAGGGAUUCUAGUAGAUGAAAGCUACCUAAGCAACCCCAAGAAUACUGAAAAUUAAAUGCUGUUUUUACAUGUGUUUUGAUACUAUCAUGGUUGUAACUUAACUUGAUCAAAGCAUUUUUGCUGGAGUUAGUCUCAGAAUAGUCUCAGAAUUUAGAGGACAGAAUAAAGAAGUAUG
rnacentral:lncRNA from 1 species